UGAAACAUCAAUUUAAACAUGUGACUACUACUAGGAUACAGGAUUAGGUUCUCAGUCCCUCAAAUGCCUGUUUUCAUCAUUCAAUCAACAAACGACUACUUCUGAUAAAAUAGUACAAGAAAAAUGCCAAAAGAAAACUGGGAGAAAACACUGAAUGAUGGAGCUCAGGAUCUCAUUCCACCACAUAGCUUCAGCCUUACAAAGGCUUUUCAUGUUAAGAACAGCAAUUCCUUUCCUUUCAGCAAAGCAGGAUUUGCAAAGCCCAACAAACUCACAGAUUUCCUUAUUAGUUGACAAUCACCAAGUUUUUACUAAGAAUUAAA
rnacentral:lncRNA from 1 species